rnacentral:rRNA from 1 species
GAUGAACGCUGGCGGCGUGCCUAAUACAUGCAAGUCGAGCGAACGGACGAGAAGCUUGCUUCUCUGAUGUUAGCGGCGGACGGGUGAGUAACACGUGGAUAACCUACCUAUAAGACUGGGAUAACUUCGGGAAACCGUAGCUAAUACCGGAUAAUAUUUUGAACCGCAUGGUUCAAUAGUGAAAGACGGUCUUGCUGUCACUUAUAGAUGGAUCCGCGCUGCAUUAGCUAGUUGGUAAGGUAACGGCUUACCAAGGCAACGAUGCAUAGCCGACCUGAGAGGGUGAUCGGCCACACUGGAACUGAGACACGGUCCAGGCUCCUACGGGAGGCAGCAGUAGGGAAUCUUCCGCAAUGGGCGAAAGCCUGACGGAGCAACGCCGCGUGAGUGAUGAAGGUCUUCGGAUCGUAAAACUCUGUUAUUAGGGAAGAACAUAUGUGUAAGUAACUGUGCACAUCUUGACGGUACCUAAUCAGAAAGCCACGGCUAACUACGUG